rnacentral:lncRNA from 10 species
CAUAUGAUAAGGGCACAAUAGAUGGUUGCUUUUCUUCUUCUAGCAGGCUGAUUAUCCUAAAUCUUAUACUCCUGCUAAGUCUAGUUGUGGCGCCCCCAGGAAUCCACCUGGAUAGCGCCAAGUCGAAGUCAUCUUUAUGUCACCCAGAGAUCUGUCAGGGUAUGCCUAGCAUCAUUCUGCCCUACAUGUGGCUAAGUGACACUGCUGCAGCUCCAUGAUAUUGCAUGCACCACCUUGUCUGGAGCCAGACCGGGCAUGCCUCCAAUGUCAUAAUAAUCUUCAGGGUGUGAUUAUCACAGCACACAGAGGCCUGCCAAGGCCCUAGAAGAAAGUUAUGAUAGGGUGGAAAAGAAACGUGCCUUGGAAACUUGGGUUCAGUGUCCUGCUGUGUCACUUACUAUCUCUGUGUCCUUGGGAAAGUUCUUUAGAUUCUCUCCAUUUUAACUGUAGAAAGCGAUAGAAAUUUCUUCCUCCCUCCUCCUCUACCCUACCCCAUUUCCCUUCAACAAAUAUGAAUUAGGCAUCUAGGCACUGGGGAAGCAAAAGCGACUAGAAACAGAUAAAAUCCCUCCACGAUGACAUCAUGGAGCUCAUUGUCUGAUGAGGUAGAGGUAUGUUCAUCAAAUAAAUAAAUGCAAGACUGCAGCCCUCAGGACACUUUAUCUGAUA